rnacentral:lncRNA from 1 species
AGAAGUAACUCAACCACAGGCCACCAGUGGCACUCAGCUGUACCACUGCACUGCUGCUGAAAUUGCCAGCACCAGCAGCAUUGUAACAGCUGUUUCACAGCAUCUCGGAGAUAAUGCCUACGAAAUUACUGGCCCUGAUGACGAG